rnacentral:rRNA from 1 species
GACGGAGGAUGCAAGCGUUAUCCGGAAUGAUUGGGCGUAAAGCGUCCGCAGGUGGCAGUUCAAGUCUGCUGUCAAAGACCGGGGCUUAACUUCUGAAAGGCAGUGGAAACUGAACAGCUAGAGUAUGGUAGGGGCAGAGGGAAUUCCUGGUGUAGCGGUGAAAUGCGUAGAGAUCAGGAAGAACAUCGGUGGCGAAGGCGCUCUGCUGGACCAUAACUGACGCUGAGGCGCGAAAGCGUGGGGAGCAAACAGG